AAAGUACUCCCUCCGUCCGGAAAUACUUGUCGGGGAAAUGGAUGUAUCUAGACGAAUUUUAGUUCUAGAUACAUCCAUUUUCGCGACAAGUAAUUCCGGACGGAGGGAGUAUUAC
rnacentral:pre_miRNA from 1 species